GAACGAUUGCUUUCAAUAAAAUUCUCAAGUUCCUGAAAAGGAAUGUUGACUUCGAAUAAAAUUAUUGAUUAUUUAUUUUUUAAUAACUAUUUCUAUCUUUCACAAAAACUAAUUACUAAAUUUUUCAUGAUUCGAAGUUAAACAAUAAUGGAUAUUUCAUGAAAAUCACCUGGGAAUACAUACAAUGGUUAACGGUCCCUGAUGGACGGUACCUAUGUAUUUUAUCUCACUCCUUCGAAAAUUGUUAUUUAAUGUUGCGAUAGGUGGUCAUUUAUCCAAAAUUAAAUAAUAGGUUGGUUUCUUCCUGAAAUACAUUUUUUAAUUGUUGGUAUAUUAAACGUAGCAAUUAAUAACUUUUUCGAAAAUUCGCAUUUUAUUUACGCAAAAUUACUCAUUCUCGGGAAAACGUUCCUCUUACGUUAAGUUUAUUAUCGUCAUUUUUUUUUUUUUUUUUAAAUGCCUAGAAUGAAAAUCUUCGAAGAAUAGUUCUUUCUUUUGAAAAUUAUCAACGUAUUUUGCACCUAAUACGAAUUCUUUGUGAGAUUAAUUUUUCUUCUCCUAAAAAUUACUCAUUUUGCGAGGAAUUAAUAUCAUAUUUUGUGAGUAUUACUAAUUAAGUCAUCGUUUGAAAGUGGGGUCCACCCUAUGUUUAGCUAUAAGAAAUCGCCAAAUUCAGAAUUUUUUCCACUGACUAUUUUUUUACUUUGAUUUUAUAAGACAUUCCUAAUAGUUUUUGCAAGUUUUGAAUACCAGAAAAUCGUAUUUCAGAUGCUUUUAAUAGAAAUUUUCAUGUUCUCAUUUUUUUAAGUUGCAAAUAGUACAUUGUGCUACAAGGGGGAGAAAUAGCCUUCCUCCCUUGAUGCACACCGUGCUUUUUACAACAAUUGCAGGUAUUUUAAUAUUCUGAAAAUUGGUCGGAAGCGUCUGGAAAUUCUAAAAACCGUGAUUUUGAAUUUCUGAAAUUUUCGAAAUCUAUAACAUUUCUGAAAUUUUUAAACUGAAAUUUCGAACAAUGUUGGAAAUUUUGAAAAAGAGUUUAUCGACCCCCUAGCGAAGUAAUAUCCAUUUUCGCCCUGCGUGAAGUCCACGCUAUCAAUAAUCAAUUUCCGAUCCACUCUACAUGUGAGAAAAAGGGCCGUUGUUAUGCACGUGUUUUCGAAAUAUUCAUUAUUUUAAAGUAUAUAACAAAUGAAGUGAUUAGAUAAAAAUGUAAUGGGUGAAAUAAACAUUUUCGAGUUUUGAGCAGGGUCCACGCGAUUUUUGGCUAUAGAAAGAAUCUAUUUACGGGGUCUUCUGCAAUUUUCAAGUUAACUAAUUUUGAUAAAAUUUCGUGCUGCAGCUAAUCUUUUACAUAAUAUCAUAAUAAACAACUUUUAUGUGAACACUUGUUCCGGAAAACCUACCGGAGUAAAGUUAUUCCGCUGAACGUUGACACGUUGCGAAAUAUCGGUUUUUGAUUUUCUAACAAAGUUUUGACACUAAACCUGUUCAAAAAUUUGUCAAACUUUCAUUGAUAUGUUUCCGGAGGUCUAAUGAACUCAUAGAAAAAACGACUACUUUGUGUUUGGCCACGAUCAUAUAAAUAUUAAAUUUGACCGGAAGUAGUUACAACGCUGCAUCGCUACCAAUGAGCGAUCGCCGCCGAGGCAAUAAUGGUGCUCCUAUUGUUACCCACACAAUCAUUCGCGUAUAUGAGAUGAAAAACGCCAGUUUCUGUUGAACUUGCAUCGCAAGAGCAUUUCGGAAAACGCCAAAGAGCUAAUACGAACUAUGGAGAACCAGCGACGAGAGACAUCCAAAGAAAGGGAAGCGGAGGUGGAGAGGAGGCGGGUGGCGCGUGAGCUCCGGCAUAAGGAGCGGGAUGAAAUAGAGAAAAGACAAAAGGAAAAGGAGAGAAAAAAAAAGGAGAGAGAGAGAAAAGGUCGCGAGCAGACGCGAGAGAAGAAAGAGGUGAAAAAUAUCGAUGGUCCAAAAACCGCCGCGGCGGGGACAAGAAAGAGGAUGGCGCGAAAGGCGCCAAAGACGCGAAAGGCGCGAAAGGCGCCAGAGCCACCAAAGGCAGCGGCGGCGGGGGGGGUCAGCCCGACCCCAAUUUCAUAGCCUUACUGGAGCGCGGGGGAGGGGGGCGCAGGCGUUUUUUAUGUGCUGCCGAAAAAAUAAAAAAAAUUAAAAAUUA